rnacentral:rRNA from 1 species
GACAGAGGUCCCGAGCGUUAGGCGGAAUCACUGGGCUUAAAGCGUGUGUAGGCGGAUUUGUAAGUACCUUGUGAAAUCCCACGGCUUAACCGUGGAACUGCUUGGUAUACUGCGAAUCUUGGGCCAUCUAGGGGCUACCGGAACAAGUGGUGGAGCGGUGAAAUGCGUAGAUAUCACUUGGAACGCCAAUGGUGAAAACAGGUAGCUGGGGAUGUGCCGACGCUGAGACACGAAAGCCAGGGGAGCGAACGGG